rnacentral:lncRNA from 1 species
ACUUCUCUAGGCUUUAGGCCAUGACUUUGCACCAUCUUUGACAUCAGGGAUGAUGUAGAUCGUGCGGUUGAAAGGGUCACAGCAAGGGCUGUGUCUGCUAGAAGCUUUGGGCUGGUUUGGAUUACACUGGCAUGAGCUGAGAGGGAGGUGUAGCAAAGUCUGGGAUAAGUGGUUGUACCACAAGAUGUUCGGAUGAACUCGGUGCUGGCUUUAUCAGCAGCAGGCCUGGCUGCUGAGCUUAAGUUUAUGUAGGAAGUAAGGGAAAGAAAAAUGAGAAGAGCUGGAAGGAAAUGGCUAGAAAAAAAUGAGCCUUCCAUAUCUCUCCUAGUUACUUGCAGAGAAACUUGGAGGUUAGGGAUGAGACUAGGGAAUAGAAGGGUAGUCCUUUUAUAGACGAAUUGGAAAACUUCUAAUGUGGGUUAAGUUAUAAAAAUUAAAGGAGCCAACUCCACAGCAUGACCUAUAUUUCUCAUACACCACUACUUGUUAUAGGUCCCACGAUAAUUCAACUUGUCCAGAGGUCACAAUAGAUGAGUUAAAUAUUAAUAGUAACAGCUGAAGUUCAUGGUUUCCCUUAAUCCAGAAUGUUAGGACUAAUACUUGACUCAUAAGUGGUCAAUCCGUACUUCUUUGUCCCUAACUAGCACGAUAUAUGGGGUUAUGUUAAUCGUUACCCUUCAGCAUGAUUUCAGUGAUCAAAUUCUGAGUUUAUAAGCCUAUCGUUCACCUUAACAUGGUCAAUCCCAAAAUGAAAGUUGACCCCUUCGGUGGAAAGCUCUCAUGGUUCCUGGUAUGAUUUUCCUUAGGUUAUAACUGCAAGCGUGUGUAUAUAUAUAUACCUUCUAAAUAGUAAUUUCCUUAAAAUGGUUUCUAAGCUAUAAAAACUAGUUACUAAUUAAUCUCAGUUAGAUUGAAGUUGUUAGUAUACAUACAUCAAAAACAGUUGGUGAGGUCGACAAGAAAAGGAGGAUAUCAAUAUCUAGAAUUCUAUGAUUCUCAGCUUUCUUUUUCAGAGCAUACAGCCAUGGAACUAUGAUCAACUUGGUGUCACCCACUGGCCCACUGCAGUGCCCAUAUCUCAAUCCGGCUUAUAACUGGCCUAAAUUUUUAGUUUAAAAAAUCAAAUUAAAGGGUAUCCACGACCACAAAAAAAAAAAAAAAAAAAAGACUAAGAGAAGAUAAUGGGUUGCCGUGUAAGAGAUCCUUGGUAGAGGUAGACCACGAAGCAUGUAACAUUUCGAGAGGAAGCUGUGUAUUUGGAUGGCAAACAAAGGAAGAAGGGUUGGGUAAAACUUUGCGCAUGCCCAGAUUCCUUUGAGAUAAAGGGUAAUUUUUUGUUUUUGUUUUUAGAAAGUAAAAUAAUACAUAAUACAAUUAAAUUUAAUAUUUAUUCUUUUAAAAGAAAUUGAAAUAAUAGAAAUUAUAAAUAUUAUGAAAUUUUAAAUCGAGUUUGGGUUUGACUUGGAUUGCUCAAAUCCUUAACUUAUUUCCAAACUGAAUUGAUUUUGGACUCAAAAAGUCAAAUUAAGUAUUUAAAAUAUUUGUUUGGGUCAAAUUAAGUGUACUCAUCCAAGUUGCACUCCCAAUCCUGAUUGCAUCAAUGGAGUAGUCUUUUGGUGCAUGUUCCUUUUGUCUUGAGUUUUAAUCAAUAAACCAAAAGAAGUAGCAUCCUGUCUUACAAAUUAGGAAUGAACUUGAUCCAUAUUCACUCAUCAGUUCAACAUCAUUAGGAAAUUGUGUAGAGUCCCUCUAGCAUAUGUUGUGUCAUACCAUUUAAUAAACCACCAAUGUGGUAGUAUCCGACACAAAGAUAAAUUGAAAGAGGUCUUUAGAGUGUUAUGAAGCAAUAUCUAAUCAAUGCAUUGCCAAAAAUAUUUGACUUUUUUUAUUCAACCAAAAAACAAACACCACCUUCCUUUUUUCUUUUUUUCUUUUUUUAAAUUGGUUAUCAACCUAUACAAUGGUAUGAUCAUUGAAAAGAACCACCAAAUGAUUUAUUAUUUAGACCAAUUGAUGCUCGAAAUAGAAAAAUAUCAUUUUUCUUUUACUACCACGUGUCAAAGAUAGAUUUUCUUAAUAAUUUUUUUAAUAUAUAUAUAUACUCUUCCUCAAUCAAUUUCCUCAUAUUUUGAUACUUAAUUCAAAGAAUUAACUAGGUGGGAUAUCUUAUAAACAACUAUUUGAUUUACAAAUUUAUUAGUGAAUUUUCUUUUCCUUUGUCCAUAAUUUUCCUCGUUUAGAAUUUUUCACAUAAAUUUGUAUAUUCUUAUUCUGCUUUUUAUUUUUAUUUUUAUUUUUUUAUUGUUUAUUCUCAUUAUUGUGUAACAAUAACUAAUAUAUAUAUAUAUAUACUUAAUUCAAAGAAUUAACUAAGUGGGAUAUCUUAUAAACAACUAUUUGUUUUACAAAUUUUUUUAAUGAAUUUUCUUUUCCUUUGCCUAUGAUUUUCCUGUUUAGGAUUUUUCAUAUAAAUUUGUGUAUUCUUAUUUUAUUUUAUUUAUUUAUUUAUUACUUAUUCUCGUUAUUGUGUAACAAUAACUAAUAUUAUGUUAUAUAAACGGUAAAAUAGUAAUCAACAUAAAAAAAAACUAAUAUUUUGAACUAAUAUUUUUAUUUUAGCUCUAAAAAUUUUUCUCUCCUAAAGGACCUAUAAAAGUUAAAUAAAUAAUAUUAUUUUUAAUAAAUAUUUCAUCUGUGGCAAUUGAUUUUUAACAAGUCAUUUUCCAUUACUUACAAUUCUUUUCCAAAAUUAUUGAAUUUGCUCCAUGAUAACUUAUUUCAUUUACAUACAGAUAUCAUGAAGUAGAAGCAGAGUGUCGGCCAGCAAUGCUUUUGGAUUUUUUUUCCUCCCAAUGGUGAGAAAAUGACAACCUCCUAAGAACCCUUUCCUUUGGGGAAGUGAUACCAAGUAAGCACUCUGAAAGGAACAUACACCACCCUUGCGAGUGAUAUAUUGACAUAAGUGAUUUAUAUAGGCGAUGUGUCACUUUCUUUUGUUAAAGAAAUUAGGCCCCCCUCAACUAUCUCUCAUAAAAGAACUAGAAUGCCUAUUUGGCAAUGCUUAGAAAACGAUUAUAACAAAUUAUUUUUUAACAAUAUAUUUUAAAAAUAAUUUUUAAUUAUUUUCAAGAAUAAAAUUCUGUUUGAGAACACAAAUAUGAAAAAUAGUUCUUUCAAUUUAUUCUCCAAAAAAAAUAUUAUACAAAGAAUUUUUCAUAUUUUCAUUUGUUUUUCAAAAUUUAAUAAAAUCAUUUUAUUAAGAGAAAUUAGAAAGAAACUAGUCACUUUCGGUGGACAAUGUGGAAGUUUAUAGAUUUAGUUUAGAUAACAUGUAAAGGAGGUUAAUAGGUGUUUCUUUUAUCCCAAAAAAUGAUUAUUUUUAAUCCUUUAACUAACUCCUUUUAGUUUAUGAAAGCUUAAAGAUAUUUAACACAAGAAACAUGAUUUUUUUUAUGUAGAAAACCAUCCAUAUGACGUUUGAAUGUAAAAAUCACAGAGUCAAAGACCUCUAAUUGCAAAUCCACUAAUCAAAAGUACAACACAAAUUUAUCUUGUAAAAACUAUUCUUAAGUUUUACUCUUUAGCACUUAUAUUGAACUUUACAUCUAUGAUGCAACACCAUAUGUGCUCCCAAUGGAUCUCACCUCAACACCAUGAGAUUGAUUGUUUAAAUACUCCAUUCAGUAUUAUUGCUACUACACAACUCUAACAUUUAUUAGAAGGUGUACAAACUAGAGACCCCUGCAUGUGGGAAGGACACUAGGCAUACACCGGUUGUUAUAGAUGCACAAUUGAUUGACAUUAGUGCACCACCUUAUUAGGAACUGAUAUCAUCCACUGCUCGACCUUUAUAGGAUGGGACUCCAUCUAGUGUUGUUGCUACUUCAUAGCUUCAACCUCGAUUGAAAUGUGUAUGAACUAGAUGAAGUAAGGCUCAUGGGAGGGAGACUAGGCAUACACCUAUUUUUAGAGAUGCAUUAUUGACUAGCAUUACCUCACCACUUGUGGAGGAGACUCUUAUUACACUUACGGAGGUGCCAUUGACCCUAUUUGUAGUACCACUUGUUGUAUCAUCACCAUAACCAUUAGAGGCCACAUUGGUUGAUAAGGAGUUAGUUCCUACAACAAAUGAUGAUAAACAAGGACAAGUGGAUUAUCAUGGUCGAGCACAUGGUAGGAGACGUGGUCAAGGACGUGGGGGAGCAUAUGUCAACCCCAUAGAGCUAAUGGUGGAACAUGCAUAUCAUCAAUAUCCACAAUGGAAGAAGAAGGCUCCUUUAUGUAGUACACAUUGAGGAUGUUACUAUAUAUGACUUGUAUUUUAGAUAUUGUUAAUAUUUUGCAUGUCAUUAUUUUGGACAAAUAGUCAAGACGUAUAUCUAUUAAUUGUUAUUUUUUGGAUUUAGUAAUUGUUCAUUAACAUAAGUUCUAUAGUAUUGUACAUAUUUUAGAAUUAUUUUAGACAAAACAGUAUUGCUACUAUUUUGGAAAGUGUCAACUUAAUUGACAUUUAGUUUACUCAUUUUGAUUGACAUGGAUUGAAAAGUUAAAAUAUUGAUUGUGAUGUAUUCAAAUGAUCAAAUUUAAACAUUUGGUUAUAUUUAGGAAAACUAAUUAAGAGAUAGAUUUUAAUAUUUUUUUUUUUUGAAGUUGUCUCUUUAUUGUAAAAUGAAGUUGUCUCUUUAAGAAAUAACUUUAGAUAAAUUUUGUUGUUGAAAAUUCAAUAUAUUUUUUUUUAAUGUACAAAUUUUGGAUUUUUUUUUUUUAAAAACUCAAGUUAUCUUCUCAAGUAACAACUUCUAUCAUAUUUUAAUUUUUUAAUACAAAUUUUUAUCUUCAUAUAAAAAAUAAAUUAAAAUCAAUUUUUUAAUUAAAUUUGAGUAAUUUAAAAUAAUAAAUCAUUUGUUUAACUUUAUUAAAUAAUAAAAUCAAUGUUUGAAAUGGUUAACUUUAAUAAACAAAUAAAAUAAAUUUCAAAUGGUUAACUUUAAUAACUUCAAUAACAUAAAUACCAUUUUUUAUGAAUAGUAAUUACACUUAGUAUGGAAAAUGUUUCUUCAAGAGAUACCUUCAAUAUAAAUUCAAUUUUUUUUUUCAAUAUGUGAUUGAUAUUCAAAUAGAAAGUGUUUUUUUUUAAAGACACCUUUAGUAUAAAAUUCAAUUUUGUGGAAUUGUAGAAGAUGUUUCUUCAAUAUAAAUUUAAUUUUUUUUUUCAAUGUCUAUUAUGAAAAUUGUGGAAUUGUUGGAGGUGUCUCUUCAAGAGACAUCAUUAAUAUAAAUUUAAUUUUGUAAAAUUAUAGAAGGUGUCUCUUGAAGAGACAUCUUUGGUAUAAAUUCAAUUUUUUUUUAAUGUGUGACUAAUAUGAAAAUUGUGGGAGAUGUCUUUUUAAGAGACACCUUUAAUAUAAAUUGAAUUUUGUGGAAUUGUGGAAGGUUUUUCUUGAAGAGACACCUUUAAUAUGUGUGUAUAUAUAUAUUGCAAUGUGUGACAAUAUGAAAAUUGUGGAAGGUGUUGUAGUUCCUCAAUAGUUCACAAGUACCCCUUGUGAAGAUUUUUUUUUUUUUUGUUGUAAUUAGUUGUAAAAAUUAAAAAGCCCUCCAACUGACACAUAAUUGAAUUAUAUAGGCAAAAUUUUAUUUUCUUUUGAUAAAGAAGCUACGUCCCUAAGGCACCCAACAACAAUCUCUCCUAGCAUGUUUGUUUUUUAAAACAGUUAUUAAAAAUUGAUUUUUAGGAAUAACUUUUAAUUACUUUAAAAAUAAAAUUUUGUUUAAGAACUAAAAUAUGAAUAAUGGUUUUUUUAAAUUUAAUUUUUAUGAAAAUAUUAUGUAUUUAUGUAUAAUACAAAAGUUUUUAUAUAUUUUUAUAUUUUCAAUUAUUUUUUAUAAUAUUUAGGAAAAAUACCUUAAAACAUCUUAAAUUCAUUUUAAAAAACACAUGUUUUGUAAACAAAUUCUAUUAGGGUAUUUUAUUUAGCUAACAAUUUUGUUCAUUUCUUACUAAUUCAAUACAACUUACUUCCUUAGGUUUUAUUUAUUUCAAGAUAACUUCAAACUUUAUCAAAUUCGGAUUCAGAUUAUUUGAAGUUGUAAGAUUAAGGUAAGUAUGUAUUUAUGGUUGAUAAAGCUUUUGGAUUGCCUAGUAUAAGAAAUUAGGAAGAUAAUAUUUCCUAUUUUCUAAUUGAUUUCUAAUAUACUUUUUUAAUUCCAACUCUUAAACUUUUAAGAUCUUUCUUGAGAGUAACUUUCAACUACAACAAAUUAAGGUCAAAGAUCUCAUAAUGAAACUUUGAUAAGGCCUUUGAAGGAUCUACUAAAGAGCAUAAAGUAUUAUGUCAGCACAUGGAAAUGAGUAUUACUGUUGAUGGUAUAAGACCCUAGAGAGUAUGUGCAUUCAAUCAAAUAAAACUAUAUAUCAUUUUAUUAUAUUUAGUGGAUUAUUCAACGGUCGAGAGACCACCCUUAGUUUUUUAUACCUAGUAGGUUAUUAGGUGUUUUUUCCAUUUUAAAUCUUGUGUUCAUUUGUGUGAUUGAAUUUAUUUUUAUCUAUAUGAGAUUUUUGCUCUCUCUAAAGAAUUAAGAUAAAGGGACAAACCUAAAAUAGGUAAUAAAUAUUAAUUUGAGGUCUAAUUUAAAGACUAGUUCCAUUAUACCAAGACUAGGUAUAAAAUUUCUUUCAAAUUGUUUUACAAAAAAGUUUAUUAAACAUAUGUGGACAUUAUUUUCAACAACUCUAGCAAACAAGUCCCUUUUAUCUCUUUCUCUUUCUUAUUUUUUAUAUUUUAUUUUUUUUUAACUUUUUUUAAUCAUCUAACUUUUGUUGUUAUUAUUAGAAAAUUUCCACACCUAAAACUCAUCAUUCAAAAUAAUGAGAAAUCAUUCAAUUUUAUCUUUAAAUUGAAAAUAAUUGUUUCCAACUUUUAAUCAUGGAAAGUAAUAAAUCAAAUUAAUAAUAUUACCAUUUUCUUACUAGACUAUUGUAGAGAGAAAUAAGAGAAAAUAAUAACUUUCAAUAGACAGUAUGUUGAUUAUAGUACUUGCUUGGGUCCUCUGCACAUGAUCAUUACAUCCUACUAUAAAGAGGGCUUAAACUAUUAGACAUUAAAGAUUGGGGGUUGACUCACAUAAAAAAGGAGCGGAGAAGCAGAAUUGUUUUGCAUUUUCUCUUGCCUCUACUGUACAUCUCCUUGGUAAGAUGUGAUUUGAAAGGAAUUGAAUUCAAAACAUUAGAUAUGCCAAUAAUUCGAGAUGGGGAUUGGUUGUGUGUGUUGAUUCCUCAUUUGCAUUAGUUUCUAUCUUAUGCUUGUAUUACUAUUGUUUAGGAUGGUUACAUGAGAUCAUCCAAUCUCAAUAUUACAUGCGAAAUGCAUCUCAUGAUUCAUGUUGUACGAAAUUGAUCUCCGUCGAGAACAAUUUUUUUCUUCCUAUGUUUGAGAUCUUGCUUUAUACUAUAUAGGUGUCACAUCACAAAACCCACUCUAAGGGCAUAACAAUCAUUUCACAUCUCAAACAUGAAGGCUCAAAGUGGAAACAACACAAACAUUUAUCUUGUAACUGGAUGGUUUCCAAUUACUAAAUUCUUGUUCAAAAUAGUAAAAUAAAUAAAUUCUAUAAUCUUCAAUUCUCAACUUUAGGAUUAACACAUCAACCAAAGUGUUAGUGUUCAAAUAACUCUAAACUCAAAUAAUUUCAAUGAGAAUUAAAUUUUAAUAUUUAAAAAAUGUCCAAAAUAAAAUUUGAACCAAAAUCCUAAUAAAAAAAAUUCCUUAGCUUAGCCAUCACUCCUCCUCCAAAUUGAGAGUACUUGAAAAUUUUUCAAUGAUGGGAAUGAACUUAAAGCCUAAUAAAGAACAUUAAUAUAAUGUCAUGAAUCAAACAUUUUUAAUUUUAAUUACAAAUAGGAGAUAUAACGUAUAAUCAUUUUCCUAAAAACUUUUGAGUUCAACAUGCUAAUACAUUCAAAACUUUUCAAUCAAACAUUUUCAUAUUUAUGUCAAAAUAAUUUCAUAUCAAAACCAAAUCAAAUACAUUCAAAAUAUGUUUACUCUGGUUAUUAAGUAACAAUGGAGCCCAAUUGGGUGAGACUUCACAAAUAAGUGACAAUCCUCAAAUUUGUCCAUUUUAAAAUGGAUGAAACCAAAGGUCAACAAUUAUAACCCGUUGACUAGAAUUGAAAAAGUAAAAAAUUAUAACUCGUUGACUAGUUUUAUAAAAAAUGAAGAAAUCGCAAAAUCUGCUGAAGAAUACUCUGUUUUCAUUAACUAGAAAAAAGGAAACAACAAGCAUAUAUAUGUAUUGGGGUUAGAGACGGAUUGCACCUUUAACUUGAUUCCAACUCACCAAGGAUAAUAGAAAAAGAAAAAAAAAACUUAUCUAACUAAUUUCUUACUCUUUUUUAUUUAUUUAUUUACAAAUAAGCCCUCAAAUUUAAUACUCCCCCUCAAAAUGGAGUGUGUGUAUAUAAUGAACACUUAUCUUGCUUAGUAGAAGAGUGAAUUGAGUUGGAAAGAUGAGCUUUGUCAACAAGUCUGUUAUUUGGUGUCGUGAAGCAAUGUGUAUAGUCUUCAAUGUUCCUUUUUGAAUUUUUUGCUCAUAUUAAAUGGCAAUCGAUCUCGAUGUGCUUAGUUCUUUCGUGAAAGACUUGAUUAACCACAAUGUGUAAGGUAGCUUCAUUACCACAAAACAAUAUUAUAGGUCCAACAUGAUUUACACCAAGAUCCUUAAGAAGAGAAAACAACCACACUAUCUUACAGGUUGCAUUUUCCAUUGAACGAUACUCAGCUUCAACUGAAGAUCUUAACACUAUGUGCCAUUUCUUGGAUUUCCAGGAAACCAAUGAGUCUCCAAGAAAACAUAAUAACCACUUAUUGAUUUUCUACCUUCAGGACAAGUACCCCAGUCAGCAUCUGCAAAAGCCUUUAGUUGCAAUGAAGUUGAAACAUGAUACAAAAGACCUUGGCUAACUGUGUUCUUUAUAUAUUACAAAACAUGAACAACAACUUGUAAGUGUGGUACCCUUAGUUUAGCUAAAAAUUUGCUCAAGCAAUUCACUACAUAAUAUAGGUUUGGUUUAGUAAUUGUCAAGUACAAUAACUUUUCAAUUAUACGCUUGUAUUACAAAGGAUCAUCAAGAAGUUCUCCAUCAUCUUGAGCAAGUUUAACAUUUACAUCCAUGAAGGUUUUGCAAGUCUUACACCCAAGAUGCCUUGUAUUUGACAAGAGUUGUAAAGCAUAUUGGCGUUGACAAAUAGAAAUUCCUUUAGAAGAUCUUGCCACCUCAAUGCCAAGAAAAUACUUCAAAUUUCCCAAAUCUUUCAACUUGAAUCAGUUGUUCAAAUAUGUUUUCAUAUUUUUAACCUACUCAAGACUAUUGCUUCCUAUAAUGAUGUUGUCAACAUACACUAAAAGAGCAAUGAAGCUUUGUCCUUUAGCCUUGGUGAAAAGAUGGUGAUCUACAUGAGAUUAUUUGAAACUAAUUUCAAAGAGAAUUGUAGAAAAUUUUGAAAACCACUGAUGUGGGGCUUGCUUUAACCCAUAGAUAGAUUUAUGCAGUCUACACACAAUGUUUCCAAGUAGAGAAAUCUCCCCCUCAUGGUGAUAUCCUGGUAGAAGUUCCAUAUACACUUCCUCUUGUAAAUCACUGUGCAAGAAAACAUUAUUUACAUCCAACUGUGUCAAACUCCAACCAUAAACAAUAGACAAAGAGAAAAGAACCUUAACCAUUACUAACUUUGCAACAUGAGAAAAUGUGUCCAAGUAGUUAAUACCUUCCUGUUGUGCAUACCUUUUGGCCAUUAAGUGGGCUUCGUAAUGCUCUAAACUACCAUUCGAUCGAUACUUAAUAUGAUACACCCAUUUGCAGCCAACAAGGUGCUUACUAACUGGAAGAGUAGUCAAUGUCCAUGUCCCAUUGCUUUCAAAAGUUUUCAACUCUACCAUCAUAGCCUCAUUCCAUUCAAGAAUCUUAGCAGCUUGUGAAUAAGUGGUUGGUUCAGAAUGAGAAGAAAUGGCAUAAAAAAAAAAAAACUUUGUGGUUAGAGGAAAGACGAUCAUAGCUAAGAACAUGGGAAAGUGGAUGAGCUGUGGGAACAUUAUUAUGGGACACAUAGUUGCAAUGGAAAUCCUUCAGAUAGGAAGAAGGUUUAAUGACUCGAGAGGACGAGAAGAUCUAAGAUUUUGUGAAGAUGGAGCAAUAAUAGUAGUGGUGAAAUCAACACUUAGAUCAAUAGAAUUGGAAAGAGGAGUGAUAAUUGGUAUACGACAUGGCAACACUUGAUCAUAAAAUAAGUCAAAAGAUUUGAUAACUUGUGGAAUAGAUGUGAAGGGAAAGACAGUCUCAUGAAACACGACAUCUUAUGAUAUGAAAACAAUAUUGGUACUAAGGUUUAACAGUUUGUAUCCCUUAUACCCAUGUGGAUACCCGAGAAAAACAACAGGCAAAGCUCUUAGGGAAAAUUUUGUUCGAUGAUGCUUAAGAGUAAAAGCAUAACACAAGUAGCCAAAGGUCUUCAAGUGACUAUAUGAUGGUUUCUUAAACCACAGAUGUUCAAAAGGGUUUUGUUAGAAAAAAUUGGAGAUGAUAAUCAAUUAAUUAGGUAUGCAGUAGUUAAGACACAAUCCCCCCCAGUAUUCUAAAGGCAUAUUUGACUAAAAUGCAAGGCUCUAACAACAUUUAACAAAUGUUGGUGCUUGUGUUCUAUCACAGAGUUUUGUUGUGGUGUGUCCACAUAAGAAUGAAAAGGAUGAAUGCCUUUGGAACCAAAAAAAUCUGUAAAGGCUAAUGCAGGGGCAUUAUUUGUUCUCACAUAUUUAAUUUUAGCACCAAGUUGUGUGUUUAUGAGAGUGUAAAAAUAAGGAAAGAUGCUCAGAACAUCGAAUUUUUGUUUCAACAAAUAGAUUUAAGUAAAACAAGUGCCAUCAUCCACAAUGGCAAACAAAUAACGAUGUCAUUCCACAAUUUACGGGGUAAAAGGACCUCAUAUAUCAUAAUGCAUAAGAUUAAAAAGACAAUCAAACAAAGAAUUUGCUGAAACAAAUGGUAAACGCUCUUGUUUAGCAAGUGGAAAAACAAUGCAAGGUAAAGAAUCACCAAAGAUUUCUGAAAUUUUUAAUUCAUUCUUCAAAAUUUGAAGUUUUACAUAAGAUGGAUGACCUAAACGAAAAUUCCAUAAGUCCUUUUGAGUCAAUUUGAUAUUAUUACAAACACUGGAGAAACAAGAAGAAAUUGAGAACAAGUUGUUUGGAUUCAAAAUGUAGAGAUUACCAACACGGUUACCCAUUCCAAUCGUCCUCCCCUGUGAGAGGUCCUAAAGAGUACAAGAAUCAGAAGAAAAAUUAAUGGAAAUGGAGUGUUGACAUGUAAGGAACUAACAGAAAGCAGAUUGAAACAAAAAUUGGGAAUGAACAAAACAUUAGCAAGAAUAAUGGUAUCCAUUAGUCGAACAUAUCCUAUACGUGAUAUGCUAACAAAAUGACCAUUUGGCAACAUAACAUAAGAAUUAAAAAUUGGUUUGGAAUUGAUGAAAAAAAUCUAAAACACAACAAACAUGAUGUGUUGCUCUAGUAUCCAACACCCAUGAACAAGGAGAAAUAGUUGAAGAGUUGUAGGUCAGAGAGAGAGAAAUAUUACCACUAAAGCUCGACACGAAUGAACUAAGCUGUGGAGUAUCCAUCGAGGUUUGAGAUCCGAUUUGAAGUUAUGAGAUCAAGAAUGUAAUGAGUUGUUUACACUGAUCACUAGUUAGAGUGUUCAGUGGUGAAUCCUAUGGAGAUGACGUAGAUCCAUCGAGUACAUUGGAUCUUGUUUGAUUUAUUUAGACCUUUGGUGGAUUCUAUUUUUGUGAUGUCCCACAUCAUAUAGGAGAGAAAGUUCCUGGCACUAUAUAUGUAGAGGAUCCUCUUAACCAAGUAGACGCGUUUUAAAGCCGUGAGGGCUCCUUUGGGCCCAAAGCAGACAAUAUCUACAUGGUUUGGUGCGGGUCAUUACUAAUGGUAUCAGAGCCAAUCUCCGACCCCGGUGUGGGGGUUUGUUUGGCCCCAUAAGGGGUGUUUGUCUGUUUGGCCCCACAAUCCCAUGGGACACAACGAGGACGUUGUGUCUACAUGAGGGGGGUAUUUGUGAUGUCCCACAUCGGAUAAGGGAGAAAGUUUCUGGCGCUAUAUAUGUAGAGGCUCCUCUUAACAAAGUAGACGCGUUUUAAAGCCGUGAGGGCCCCUUUGGGUCAAAAGCGGACAAUAUUUACAUGGUUGGGAGUGGGUCAUUACAAUUUUCCUUUAGUUUUAUAGCCUAAUGGGUAUCCGUGAAGCUUGUAACAUUUUUCAACGAUAUUUCCUUGAAUAUCACCAUGAGAGCACAAAGGUCUUUUUCAUUUUGAUUUUGAAUUGAAGGAAGCUGCAACAGUAGAAAUGCCAGAAUCACCCAAAAUCUAAGAAUCAUUGGAGAGUGACAAACGUUGAUUAACUGAAUGUUGCCUUUCUUCUUGAACAACCAGGGUAAAAACUUUGGUGAUUGGAAGCAAAAGGUCCAACAAAAUUUGACCAGAAGAAUAUGAGUCAUUAAGACCCAUUAAAAAUUGAAUAACACAUUCCUUUUGUUGAUACUCCAUCCAAUAUUUCAUCACUCCACAAUGACAUAUGGGAAUAGGUUGAAAUUCCUUCAGUUCAUCCCACAAAAUCUUGUGCCUAGUGUAAUAGGUGUUGACAUCAAGUGCACCCUGAUUCAAAGCCAUAAGAGCCUUUCUGACUUGAAAAAUCCGUGGUGCAUUGGUUUGAUGAAAAUGUUCUCUCAAGUUGUUCCAGAUCUAUGUCGUAGUAGAGAUGUAGAGAAGACUAUCAACUAUCUCCUGAGCCACCAAGUUCAAGAUCCAUGAAUUAACCACGCCAUUGCAUCAAUUCCAAGUUCCAUAGAGCAAAUCAUCAGUUGUAGGUUGAGGAAUACUACCGUCAAUGAAGUCCGUUUUGUUCUUGGCUAUGAGAGCCAUCAACAUCGCCCAACUCCAUGUGUUGUACUUGGGGCCAUGAAGAGGAUGGGAAACCAAAAUAAGCCUUGGACGGUCUCCAUUAUGGAGAAAAAAAUGGAUUGGAAAGAUCUUCCAUUAUAGAAAAGGUUGAGCUCAUAACAACCCGAUUAUUGUUUUAUCCUCUACGAGCCAUCAGGAAGAUUUAGAAAAAAAAAAAAACCCAAAUAGAGAAUAGUUGUAGUAGAGGAGAAUGCUUUGAUACCAUUUUACAAAAAUGAAGAAAUUGCAAAAUCUAUCGAAGAAUACUCUGUUUUCAUUAACCAAAAAAGGGGGAACAACAAGCCUAUAUAUAUUGGGGUUGGAGACCCAUUACACCUUCAAUCUAAUUCUAGCUCACCAAGGAUAACAAAAAAAAAAAAAAAAAGCCUUCAACUUUAAUAACUAGGGCUGAAAAUGUCAAUAAUUAUAGCUUGUUGACUAGGACCAUAUAAACUAGAGUCAAAUAUUUUAUUUCAUUAAUUCAAACUUACAAAACAAAACAUCAUGUCUCCACCAUUUUCAUUUUCUAUAAACAAAUAAAAAUGCUUAAACAUAUUUUUCAUGCAAUAUAUAUAUUUGAUUUAUGCAUAGAAAUGAAUAUAAAUUUUUUCAUAAUUCAAAAUAACAUAUAAAAAGAAAUAUAUCAUUUUACAAAAUUUGUAUUAAUUUCCAUUACCUUGAAGAAACACUCAAAAUCUUGAAGAAUUUUAUUUUGAAGAAUUUACCCCUCACCUAACAUAGUAUAAUACACAACUAUUACUAUGGAUUAUUUAUCUAAAUAUAUAAAUUUGGCAAUCUUAAAAAUAUUUUAUUUACUAUUAGUGAUCCUAAUUAAUUUACUAUGUUAACAUUAUUUAUCCUAAUAUUAUAAUUAACUUCCCAAAUAAUGAUAAUUUAAUUAAUGAGUUUCCAAAUUUUUAUAAAAGUUGGUUCCUUCCGAAAUCUAUUCCUAAUAGUUUAUUUCUCUUUCCUAAUUUAUUUAAAUUAAAACCCUUAAAAAUAUUUAUCUACAUAUUUUAUCGUUUUAUUAUUUUGAUUCAUUACCCUUAAGAAUAAGGGAGAAUUGGGUUUUAGACCCAUUUGGCUUUGACAAUUAAUAAAGAGUCCUUCAAACACCCAUAAUUGAUUUCAAGGAUAUGAGAUGGGAAUAGACAAAAAUACCCAUUUGACUUAUUUUUGUCUUUAUUCUACCACCCUUCACAUGCCACUAUUCUUUCUUAUUUAACCAUUUUUGGAUUUUUCAUUAUUUUUUUAAACUUUUUAUAAAUAAUUGAAAAAUCAAAAUUAUUUUUUUAUUUUUAAAUUAUAAAUAAACAAAAAUUAUAUUAAUGAUUCAAAGACUAUUUUGGAAAAUACUUUUAAAAAAAAUAUUAAUUUAAAUAAAUAAAAAUUACAUUUUACAUUUAUUUUUAUCUUUUAUAUUUUAGAAGUAAAUAAUUUAAUGAUUAAAAUACUAUUUAAAAUAAAUAUAUUCACUAUUUUAAUUUUUUUAUAUUAAAAAUUAUUUUAAUUUUUUUUUUACUAUUAUAAAAUAAAACGUUUAUUUUUUUUUAAUCUUCUUUCUUCCUUAUUUUAAUAACUUUUUGAACAUGACUUUUAGUAAUAAGUUAUAUGAAAUGUUACAAAUUUGUUUACUAGGGAUUUAUUUUAAUGAUUUGAAUUAAUUGAAAAUUUAUUAAAAUAAGAAAAAAAAAAGAAAAGAAAGAGGAUGGAUGGAAAGUUUUUAUUUUAAGUACUCAAUUAAAAUGUUUUCAUAUGACCGAACUUUAGAAGUGGAUUAUAUCAAUACAUAGUAGAGAUUGAAUUUUUCUUAUAUAAAAGGGUUGAAAGGUAUAUUUACUUAUUUUAGAUGAAAACAAGUAGUUAAAAAUUAUAUAGAUUAUAUUUGAGUUUGGUUUUAAAAUAUUUUUCUAGUUUUUAUUUUUUAUUUUUAAAAAUAAUUUUUAUUUUCUAUACUGUCUCUUUUUGAAAAUAUUUUUAAUUAAAAAAUGAAAACUAUUUUUUAAAAUGAAAUUGAAAACCUUGUUUAUUACUAUUUUUUAUAUGAAAAAAAAAACUAUUUAUUUAUUUAUUGCGUCACUGUACAAUUGUAUUACAUUAACUAUAUAAGGGAAAUGUACUAAAUGUAUAAAGGUGUACAAGGUUACUCUUUGUGAAAAUAUUAUAAUCGAUUAUGAGUCAUUCCUUUAUUUUUUUUAUCACUCAUGAAUUGUAAUAUUAUAAUCGAUUAUAAAGGUGCACUUUAUUUAAUUUCCGCAUGGAAAUUCCAAUAUUUUUCCUAAUAAUAAUAUUUGGAGAAAAAAAAUUUUGACCUUAAAUCAUCUACCAUCUUCUCAACUAAAUCAUUGAAAAUAUGAUUAAACACUCCUACGUGGACACAUAACUUAGGAGGGAUAUAAAAUUUGUGUCAUUGUACAAGAGUAUUACACUAAUUGUACAAGGGAAAUGUACUAAUUGUACAAAAGUGUAUAAGAUUACCCUUUGUGAAUGAUUUUAAUUGAUUCUAAACUACUUUUUUAUUUUCCUUGUCACCCAAUGAUUGUACACGUAUGUCAUGCACUUUAUUUAACUCUUAUAUGAAAAUUCUAAUAUUUUUCCCAAUAAUGAUAUUCGGGGAAAAAAAUUGACCCUAAGUCAUCCACCAUUUUUUCAACCAAACCAUUGAAAAUAUGAUUAAUACACCUACAUGGAUAUAUAAAUUAGGAGAUAUAUGAAAUUUGUAUCAUUGUACAAGGGUAUUACACUAACUGUACAAGGAUAUUACACUAAUUGUACAAGGGAAAUGUGCUAAGUGUACAAGGGUGUACAAGGCUUCUAAUAGGUUUUAUACGAUUUUUAAAUAACUUGAAUUUGACAUUAAGACGAUUAUUGAUAGUUUUGUUUUUCUUUUUUUACCAAACUAUGUCAUUAAGACAUUCUCUACAAAAAUUAACACAUAGGAAAUAAAAUUAAAAUCAAUCAUGUUUGAAUUGUUCAUUAUAAGUAAACUAAAUGAAAUAUAUAUUUUUACUAUUUUGCCUUUGUAAAUAUAAUUUCAUUGUUAUCAAUAGAGAUUAAAAAAAUCAUAUUUAAAUGGCAUUAAAAAUAAACAAAAAAUAUUUUUAUAACAUUUUUAUUUUUUUAAAUCAUUAAUUUAAAUUAUGAAAUUAGUUUUAAAGUUAAAAAUAUUUGUUGUAAUUAUAGUUUUGAAGAUUUCAUGAUUUUUAUCUUAUUACUUUGAAAAAAUUGCUUUAAUAAGAAAUUAUUUAUUUUAAUGGUUUUAAAUAUUUAAAUCUUUAUUAAAAAAUAUUAAGGAUUAGUGUGGAGAACAAUUAGGUAAUUUUGGAAUGGAGAAAUUUUGAAUAUUUUUGAAGACUUUAAUUCGGCCAAUUACCCUAUUUACAUUUUCAAAAUUAUUGGAAGGUUGGUAAAUUAGUCUUAUAAAUAUUGUCUUCUUGAUUAAUAUUAUAUAUAUAUAUAUAUGCAUGUGAAUAUUUACAUUAUAUUCAAAAAAAUAAUAAACACCACGUGCCUAAUUUGCAAGUUAGAAAAAAAAAAUUAAUAAUAUUUUAUAAGGUAUUUAAAAAGUAUUUAUUAUAUGUUCUAUAAAUUUGAAAAAAUAUAAUAUUUGAUGAUAUCUAAUUUACAAGUUAGAGUAAACAAAUAAUACUAAUAUUUUAGGAGGUGUUUAAAAAUUAUUUAAUAUAUAUGAGAAAUAAUAUAGGUUUGAAAUAAAGAAUGAUAUUUAUUAUAUAUUAUGUAAGUUUGAAAAAAAGAAUAAUAUUUGAUAAGGUUUUUAAAAGUUAUUCACUUCAAAAAUACAUUUGGUAAUAAUAAUUUUUAAUCAUCUUUCAUAUUUGAUGAAGAAAAAUGAUUCAAAUUGGUUUCAUUAUUAAAUAGGUGAGAGAAGGGCAAAAGAGUCAAAGAGAAAAUGAAAAAAGUAAGGUGAUUGGUUAGUUUUUUCAUUUAAUAGUCAAUGGUAUUAUGGAUUUUUUAAAGACAAUAUCCUUACUCUCAAUUUCCACUCUUUCAUUGGGUGUUGGGUUUAAAUAUGAAACUUAUAUGGACCAUAUAUUAAUUUUUGGGCCCAAAACACAAUUUUCCUUAAGAAUAAUCAUUAUUAUUAUUUUGAUUCAUUACCCUCGUCUUCACAUUCUCUUACCUUCUAAUUAUUAUUAAUACUACUUUCCUUAAAAAACGGUGCACAAAUUGUUUUUAUUUAUUUUAUUUUUUUAAAUUAUAAUUAUUAUUUUUCUAUGCAAGCAGUACACAAAUUGACAUUUGUUUAUUAUUAAUAUUAUUUGCUUCCCUUCCUAGGUCAAAGAGCACGUGCAGGUUUUUUUAGGACAUACCUAAUUUAAUAAAAAUAAUUUAAUAAAAUUAUUUUUAUUAAAUUAAAUUAAUUAUUUUUUUAAAAUUAUAGUUUUACCCCUAAAUUGGGUUUGGGACGUCACAAUAGGUGUCCUACGAUUGCAUUGCAUGAGAAAGGGCAUCCUAAAUAGCAUGUGGAGGAGCUAAGAUAUGCCCCGACUUACUAAUAAUAAUGAAGGGCUGAAGAAGCAUACUCUCUUUUGGGUAGACCCUUCCAAGCGGAACCAAUUCCUUAGUGGCUUGCUAGUUGGCCUAGGCUAUCCUUUACUUACUGCUGAACAGUUUCACCACUUCAUUAAAAAUAUGUCUUCCUAUAGCUGCCAUGGGGGAAAUAUAUAUGUAUAUUUUCAAAUGAAAAAGUUUCAUGCUUAAAAUUUGAAAACACAUCAAAGUGUAAAACACUUUUUUUUUUUUUUUUUUUUUGCAUAAAACUAAAAAAAGAAAAAAAAGAAAAGGGAAAUGUAUCUCAAAGGAAACUAAAUUAUUGAAUUCGUCCAUAAUAAUUUAUUUUCAGUUCCACACAGAUACUAUGGAAGCUGAAACAGAUUGUGGCCAGCAAUGUCUUUCGAAUGCUUUAAAAAAUCGCCGACCAUCCAAGUGGCUGGCAUAAUUGAAGCAUGCGGGCAAAGCAUUAUUUCAUUUGAUAAAGAAGCUAGGCCCCGCGCAACUGUCUCUCCCAGAAUAUCUCGGAUGAUUUGUCUUUUUAUAGGCCAUGUUUUCAAAAACGUGUCUAAAUUAAAAAAAAAAAAAAAGAAGAAUUUUUUAUGAAUAUAAAAAAAAAAAAAAAUUAUUUUUAAAAAUUAAUAGCUCAAAUAUAAAAAAUAAAUUUUUGGGCUUAUUGAAAUGAUUAUAUUUAUGUAUAAUGAAUUUUUUUUAAAAUAUUAUUCAUAUUUUUUAUUAUCUUUUUGAAUGUUUUUAAAACCUCAAAUUUAUUCUAAAAAAUGAUAUGAUUUAUAUUUUUAGUAAAAAAAAUUGAUAAAUAUUAUAGUUUUAAAAACCGGACUGGAUCGACAUGUCCGACUGAAUGACCCAGUGGUUGAAUCGCUGACUCGGUGAACCGGGUCACCGGUUCGAGCCUGUAUUCUCUUGGCCAAAAUGGGUCGUGCUGUUGGGCUUUAAAUCUGGGAAGUGCACGGGCCGCUACUCAACUCGCAUCCAGAUGCUGGGCAAGCCAAAAAUAUAAAGGCAUUUUAUUCUCCAUGCCAUUUCGAUGCCACCAUUACCCUAUUAUGACUUAUGUAAACAUUUUCACAUCAACUAAAAAAAAUAGAUUCUUCCCAAAAUUUAUAUAUAUAUAUAUAUAUAUAUAUAUAUAUAUAUAUAUAUAUAUAUAUAUAUAAAUUAAAUAACUUUCAAUAAAUAACUUCGUAUUUAAAUAUUAUAUAUAUUUUAUUUAGUAAAAUAUUAAAAUAUUAAUACAUCUAUAUAAUAUAUACUAAUUUGAUAAUAAUGAACAAAUAAAUAUUAUUAAUUUUUUAUUUCCUUAAGUAUUUAAAUUUUUAUAAAAAUUUUAAAUUUUAAUAAUAUGUAAAUUAUAUAUUUAUGAUCUCACCGAUACAAGAACUGUGAAUAAAUAUGUUAUUUAAGUUAGAAAAAUUGCAUUUCAAGAACCAUAAGAAGAAACUCUUUCUAUCUCCUUCUCCUUUGUUUUCAACCUUCUUCAUCAUCUUCUUCUUCUUAUUAUUAUUAUAAUUUAAGAAAAAUAUUUCUUUAAAAUGAUGAAAAAGUUUCACGCUUAAAAUUUGAAGACGAAGAUGACCACAAUUCAUUCACAAAGAAUACGGUAGCUAAGGUUGAAAAUUGUACUAUAAUGGAUAUGAAGCAACUGACCCAACCAUCAUCUAGCACACAAAAUACAUAUACCGGUACAAUUUCUCUAAUAGACUUGUUACAACCGCUCAAUGGAAGAGCAGUCAGGAUCCACACCUAGUAGCAUUCCAUAUUUCUUGCAGCAAGGCAUAUAGGAUUAAUUAGUACCCCAAUUGAACCUUUGCCGCUUAGAAACGCCUAAGUUGGCUAAUUGUGAAGGGAAGCAUAACUAUUGAUCAAACCCAAGGCGUUGCUAGUCAUAUGCGCCAUGUUAACUAUGCGAGCCCUCACGGUGGUCUUUAGAUUCCCAUUCAUGGCGUUUCCGGCGAACCCAUCAGUGCACGUGUCCUCAUCCGUCAAGGCAGUACUAACCCAUGUUUGUAUGUCAUCCAUCAUGAGCCCAAAAUUGGAGCCUUUUAUUUGGGUCAUCUCCCCCAUUGCUCUUCGAAGCUGAUCUACUGAGUCGCUCAACUCUUCCACACAGUCGUGCAUGGCUGCAACUUCUCUAGGCUUUAGGCCAUGACUUUGCACCAUCUUUGACAUCAGGGAUGAUGUAGAUCGUGCGGUUGAAAGGGUCACAGCAAGGGCUGUGUCUGCUAGAAGCUUUGGGCUGGUUUGGAUUACACUGGCAUGAGCUGAGAGGGAGGUGUAGCAAAGUCUGGGAUAAGUGGUUGUACCACAAGAUGUUCGGAUGAACUCGGUGCUGGCUUUAUCAGCAGCAGGCCUGGCUGCUGAGCUUAAGUUUAUGUAGGAAGUAAGGGAAAGAAAAAUGAGAAGAGCUGGAAGGAAAUGGCUAGAAAAAAAUGAGCCUUCCAUAUCUCUCCUAGUUACUUGCAGAGAAACUUGGAGGUUAGGGAUGAGACUAGGGAGUAGAAGGGUAGUCCUUUUAUAGACGAAUUGGAAAACUUCUAAUGUGGGUUAAGUUAACAUAAAAAUUAAAGGAGCCAACUCCACAGCAUGACCUAUAUUUCUCAUACACCAUUACUUGUUAUAGGUCCCACGAUAAUUCAACUGGUCCAGAGGUCACAAUAGAUGAGUUAAAUAUUAAUAGUAACAGCUGAAGUUCAUGGUUUCCCUUAAUCCAGAAUGUUAGGACUAAUACUUGACUCAUAAGUGGUCAAUCCGUACUUCUUUGUCCCUAACUAGCACGAUAUAUGGGGUUAUGUUAAUCGUUACCCUUCAGCAUGAUUUCAGUGAUCAAAUUCUGAGUUUAUAAGCCUAUCGUUCACCUUAACAUGGUCAAUCCCAAAAUGAAAGUUGACCCGUUCGGUGGAAAGCUCUCAUGGUUCCUGGUAUGAUUUUCCUUAGGUUAUAACUACAAGCGUCUAUAUAUAUAUAUACCUUCUAAAUAGUAAUUUCCUUAAAAUGGUUUCUAAGCUAUAAAAACUAGUUACUAAUUAAUCUCAGUUAGAUUGAAGUUGUUAGUAUACAUACAUCAAAAACAGUUGGUGAGGUCGACAAGAAAAGGAGGAUAUCAAUAUCUAGAAUUCUAUGAUUCUCAGCUUUCUUUUUCAGAGCAUACAGCCAUGGAACUAAGACCAACUUGGUGUCACCCACUGGCCCACUGCAUUGCUCAUAUCUCAAUCUGGCUUAUAACUGGCCUAAAUUUUUAGUUUAAAAAAAUCAAAUUAAAGGGUAUCCACGACCACAAAAAAAAAGAAAAAAAAAAGAAAAAAGAAAAAACCUAAGAGAAGAUAAUGGGUUGACGUGUAAGAGAUCCUUGGUAGAGGUAGACCACAAAGCAUGUAACAUUUCGAGAGGAAGCUGUUGGGUUGGGUAAAACUUUGCACAUGCUCAGAUUCCUUUGAGAUAAAGAGUAAUUUUUUUUUUUUGUUUUUAGAAAGUAAAAUAAUAUAUAAUACAAUUAAAUUUAAUAUUUAUUCUUUUAAAAGAAAUUGAACAUUAUUAUAUGUAAUAAUAGAAAUUAUAAAUAUUAUGAAAUUUUAAAUCGAGUUUGGGUUUGACUUGGAUUGCUCAAAUCCUUAGCUUAUUCCCAAACUGAAUUGAUUUUGAAUUCAAAAAGUCAAAUUUAAGUAUUUAAAAUAUUUGUUUGAACCCUCUCAAAUAUCGAAUUGGGUUUGGGAUAGGUCAAAUUAAGUGUACUCAUCCAAGUUGCACUCCCAAUCCUGAUUGCAUCAAUGGAGUAGUCUUUUGGUGCAUGUUCCUUUUGUCUUUGAGUUUUAAUCAAUAAACCAAAAGGAGAAGUAGCAUCCUGUCUUACAAAUUAGGAAUGAACUUGAUCAAUAUUCACUCAUCAGUUUCAACAUCAUUAGGAAAUUGUGUAGUCUACCUCUAGCAUAUGUUGUGUUAUACCAUUUAAUAAACCACCAAUGUGGUAGUAUUUGACACACAUAAAUUGAAAGAGGUCGUUAGAGUGUUAUGAAGCAAUAUCUAAUCAAUGCAUUGCUUCUAAAAGACUUACUUUUUUCUUUUUUUAAAUUGGUUAUCAACCUAUACAAUGGUAUGAUCAUUGAAGAGAACCACCAAAUGAUUUAUUAUUUAGACCAAUUGAUGCUCGAAAUAGAAAAAUAUGAUUAUUCUAUUACUACCACGUGUCAAAGAUAGAUUUUCUUAAUAAUUUUUUUAAUAUAUAUAUACUCUUCCCCAAUCAAUUUCCUCAUAUUUUAAUACUUAAUUCAAAGAAUUAACUAAGUGGGAUAUCUUCUAAACAACUAUUUGAUUUACAAAUUUAUUAGUGAAUUUUCUUUUCCUUUAUCCAUAAUUUUCCUCGUUUAGAAUUUUUCACAUAAAUUUGUAUAUUCUUAUUCUGUUUUUUAUUUUUAUUUUUAUUUUUUUAUUGCUUAUUCUCAUUAUUGUGUAACAAUAACUAAUAUAUAUAUAUAUAUAUACUCUUCCCCAAUCAAUUUCCUCAUAUUUUGAUACUUAAUUCAAAGAAUUAACUAAGUGGGAUAUCUUAUAAACAACUAUUUGUUUUACAAAUUUAUUAAUGAAUUUUCUCUUCCUUUGCCUAUGAUUUUCCCUAUUUAGGAUUUUUCAUAUAAAUUUGUAUAUUUUUAUUUUAUUUUAUUUAUUUAUUUAUUGCUUAUUCUCGUUAUUGUGUAACAAUAACUAAUAUUAUGUUAUAUAAACGGUAAAAUAGUAAUCAACAUAAAAAAAAACCUAAUAUUUUGAACUAAUAUUUUUAUUUUAGCUCUAAAAAUUUUUCUCUCCUAAAGGACCUAUAAAAGUUAAAUAAAUAAUAUUAUUUUUAAUAAAUAUUUCAUCUGUGGCAAUUAAUUUCUAACAAGUCAUUUUCCAUUACUUACAAUUCUUUUCCAAAAUUAUUGAAUUUGCUCCAUGAUAACUUAUUUCAUUUACAUAUAGAUAUCAUGAAGUAGAAGCAGAGUGUCGGCCAGCAAUUCUUUUGGAUUUUUUUCCUCCCAAUGGUGAGAAAAUGACAACCUCCUAAGAACCCUUUCCUUUGGGGAAGUGAUACUAAGUAAGCACUCUGAAAGGAACAUACACCACCCCUGCGAGUGACAUAUUGACAUAAUUGAUUUAUAUAGGCGAUGUGUCACUUUCUUUUGUUAAAUAAAUUAGGCCCCCCUCAACUAUAUUUCAUAAAAGAACUAGAAUGCCUAUUUGGCAAUGCUUAGAAAACGAUUAUAACAAAUUAUUUUUUUAAGAAUAUAUUUUAAAAAUAAUUUUUAAUUCUUUUCAAGAAUAAAAUUCUGUUUGAGAACAUAAAUAUAAAAAAUAGUUCUUUCAAUUUAUUCUCCAAAAAAAUAUUAUACAAAGAAUUUUUCACAUUUUCAUUUGUUUUUCAAAAUUUAAUAAAAUCAUUUUAUUAAGAGAAAUUAGAAAGAAACUAGUAACUUUCGGUGGAGAACGUGGAAGUUUAUAGAUUUAGUUUAGAUAACAUAUAGAGAAGGUGAAUAGGUGUUUCUUUUAUCCCAAAAAAUGAUUAUUUUUAAUCCUUUAACUAACUCCUUUUAGUUUAGGGAAGCUUAAAGAUAUUCAACACAAGAAACAUGAUUUUUUAUGUAGAAAACCAUCCAUAUGACGUUUGAAUGUAAAUAUCACAGAGUCAAAAACCUCUAAUUGCAAAUCCACUAAUCAAAAGUACAACACAAAUUUAUCUUGUAAAAGCUAUUUUUAAGUCUUACUCUUUAACACUUAUAUUGAACUUUACAUCUAUGAUGCAACACCAUAUGUGCUCCCAGUGGAUCUCACCUCAACGCAUGAGGGGAUGUAGAUUUCUUUUUUAAACAAGUAGAAGCAUAGACAAACUGUCUUUGAGAGUUUUAGGAAAAGGAAGACAAAUUAGGUUUUUUUUCCCAAAGUUGGCAUUAAAAAGGAAAUCCUUUUUUUAGGGAAGGUAUUUAUAAUGCAAAGAACCUUGUUGAUGGGAUCUAAAAUUUUCCCAAAAGUAAGACUUUUAAAAAUAAAGAAAACAAGAUUCCGGAAUUCUUGAGAAUUCUGCCAUGAGCCAUUGAGCACCUUUAAUGCACUUGAGUGUUCUGGGGAGGCUUAGGCGCUCUCCUUGACACUCGAGUACUAGAGUUCUUUUAAACCAGUUUUAAAAACCUACCAUUCAUACAAGGCUUUAAUUAACUCAAAUUUGCUUUUUGAGACCUUUUUAUAUUUACAUGCCAUUCUGAUUAAUCACGGAACAAUCUUAAGUUUUCAAUAGAGAGUAAGAUAUAAUCUAAAAAGGUCACAAAUAAGCUAAAAUGUUUGGAGCAAAAUUUCUAAUAUUAAAAACUACAUAAAUUAACAUACCAAUAAUCUCCCCGUUAGUAAUUUUGAGACAAAAUUUAUAAACCUCAAAUACUCUUAACACGCGCGGUUUACAAAUCUCUCAAUAACACUUGUCUAAAAUAAUCAUUCUCUAACAUGCAUAUGAUGAUCAAAAAGCAUCCAAGAGUGAACAAAUCAAAUUAACUUGUGACACACACUAAUAAACUAAAAUCCAAGGUAAAGCAGUGUGUGGGAAAAAACAUAAAAAAUAGUAUAGCUAUAAACAAUAUCAAAUAAUGGUGAGAACAAAUGGAUGCAAAUCAUGCGUGCAAUAUACAUCUAUCUAUCAACCAAAUAUUUAUCUCCCUAUUUAUCACAAGCAUGACAGAAAGGAGUAAUAUACAACAAUAAGCGCACAUAAGAGAGAGAUGGACAAUGAAGCAAAAUAAUAUCCAUAUAUAGUCAAAGGUUUUGGAUACAUAAGAUAAAGAAAGAAAUGUAUAUCAAACCAAAGUAAAAUACAAAAUAAAAUUAAGCCAAGCCGGUUGUAGUACUAAAAGGACCGACCCAAAAAAAAAAAAAAAAAACUGAAAAACAACUACUACUCAAGAUCAGAUGGAGGCAGUGGUAUAGAGCUAGAACCGCCCUAAGACAUCAUAAAAGAAGUGAUGGAUGUGAGCUACCCCUUUAUGUGAUAGAAACUUGCAUCCAUAUGCUCCUCGUAUUGGCGAUGAGUAGUGUUCAUAUGAUCCAACUGUAAGUGCAGCUAGUCCAUGGAUUCGAGAACCCGUUAGAUCCUAAAAACAUCAGUGAGGGUAGGAGUGUGGGACGAGAUGUAGAACAUGAGGGAUUCUCUCCUUAUGACUACUACGACCUUGAGGGGUAGGCACUGGGAACUCUUCGCCCUGCUCGAUAGCUCUAGCCUCCUACUCCUUUUGUACAAACUCAUCAGUAAUGAGGCUAGAGACGUGGCUCACGUGCUUGGACCAUAAGCUCUUUUCAAUGAGAGCACACAGGCUAAACAUGCCCAUCUACUAAUGAAUUUCAAAGCCGGUAUCCAUGAGAAUUUGAGAGAUGAUCAUUGUGAUAAGAAGGCUCCUAGGACGAGACGACUUACUGUAAAUAACUAUCAUGUAAAAAAUAACCCGGUUGAUAUCUAUAGGUUGCCCAAAUAGAAUGGCAUGGAUGAACUGAUUUGUCGAAUGGUGACUUUGUGUCCGAUGGAUCGAAGGAUAGAAAGAAUAAAUGAAAUAGGUGGUGAGGACCCAGACUGGCUUGGUGAAGUCAGCCACUAGAAGCUCACCAAACAAGGAAAUAGGGAUGGCUGCGAGCUCGGAGCUCGUAAAGAACUGUACCUCAAUAAAAAAGUGGGUUAAGGUCCCCUAAAGUGAUGACAUAUUGAGAGUGCGACAAAUAGAUUGAGGUGUGAUUAAUAGGGUAUAACCUUACAUGGUGACUCAGAAUGCGAGCCCUAACACUAUAGAGUGGAUGUUUGCAUAGAACAUCCUAACAUAAUGGGGAUAUGAAUUCCUAGGAAGUAACGUGAGAGGCUCCCAAUCUAUCUCAUGGAAAAUAUCAGGUAGAAUAAUAUCUUGAUCGAACCUCAAGGCUAUACCAUACUCGAUCUCGACCCUAUAGUUAGAGAAAUGAGUAUACGUAGUAGUGCUCAUGGGUGUCCUGAGAGUGGAAACAAUUGAUUGAAAGGUUAGUCAGGCUAAAGGGCCUCUAUAAAAGGAUCCCCAUAGUAGGCUUAGGGGAUGGAGGCAUAGGAGGUGCCCCCCGGGGAUGCCUACGACUAGGAAUAUUGAUCCUUGAGUGGAAUAUAAAAGGACAUGUAAACCUGGUAACUAUUUGGAAAGUAGUGGAAGUACUCAAGAAGUGGUUAGGAGCACUCCUACAGAGUUAGAAUGGGCAAAUAUGGACCUAAAAGUUGCUAGAAGACUAAACAACAUGAAGAGGCUAGAAGAAAUAAAGACAAAAUGAGUACGGGAAGGCUUAUAGCAAGAUGAAUCUCAAUAAUGGAAUACACUUGGGGGAGGAUGAAUAGGUGUUUUGACUAAUUAAACAAAAUCUCAACUCAAAUUAGCAAACCUUAAUAUUAAUUUUUUAUUCUCUUCACAUAUUCUCAAAAACACAAGCAUAUAUGAAAGCAACAACACCCCCAACAAUAUUAAAAUGCAAUUCACAUGCACAUGAUCCAACACUCUCAAACUCAAAUAAACUUAAACCAAAUUCAGAUAAACACAAGAUCAAUAUACCUCAAAAUGUCAAUGAUCAACAAUAAAAAACAGCUUCAAAGAUGAUUCAUAACCAUUUAUCUUCAUCAUUCAAUCAAAUAGUAGACAAUCAAAUCUACAAUAAAUUGUUGAAACUAAAAAUUGAUGCUAAGAAGAGAAAGAGAGACAAUGAGAACAUUGACACCAAAUUUUAACGUGGAAAACCUUUGAAAAGAUUAAAAACCAUGGGCCUGCAACUGAUCAAAAACAUCCACUAUAAAACAUAAAAAUUGAAUACAAAGUUUUACUUAGCUCAAGUCAACUAAUCCUUCUCGGACCACUUGACUAGUACUUUUCACUUUUAGCUUCUCAUCUUCUUCUUUUGGAGCACACUUGGAGUCUACACCAAGCUCUAUCUCAACCUCUUCUUGAAUCCACACAAGAAGAAAAUAUAUAGGUUUUUGCACAAAACCAAGAGAAUGAGAGAUGAAUGUGUUGAUUUUUGAAACAUCCAUUUAAAAAAAAUAAAAUUUCUUAGAAAACUUAUGGGAUUUUCUUAGGUGGUAAACAUCCUCAAAAUGGGAGGAAGGAAAAGCUCUUUCAUGGCUGCUACUCUCUCUACGUCCAGAAAUGGGAGAAAGUUUGAUUUUAAAUGAGAAUGAAGCCCUUAAUCCAAUGGCUGAAAAUUGACCUUAAAAACAGGUUAGUUGGAUCGAUCUGUCCAUACACUUGGAUUGAUCUAGAAAUAAGAGAACAAGAAAAUUAUCAAGCUCUAUGGGUGAUUAAGGCUUUUAUGAACUUUGUUUUAGCAGCCUAGAAGUUGAUUAAUGAUAUUCUAGGGAUAGUUGUCAAAUCUUAUAGAUCUAGAAUAUCAAAGACAUAGUAGGACCUUGAGAUAUUUAAGUAGAUGUAAAGGAAACAAGUUAACAAGAAAAUUAUCAAGCUCUAUGGGUGAUUAAGGAUGAACCUAGGACCCUAAAUAUUGAUCCAAUCUAAAGUAAUGAUCAUAAGGUCCAUACCAUAAAAUCUUAAUCAUUGAGCCAAAUGCUUAGAGAUUUUCUCAAAAACUCAAACCUAAUAGAAUUUGAAGGCUUGGUCAAAAUGUCAUCUAAUUGAUGUUUAGUGCGAACAUAGUCUAAGGAAUCUACCUUAUCUUCUACAUGCAAGAUCCCGAAUAAAAUGAUAUCUAAUCUCAAUGUGUUUAGUUUGAGAAUGAAGAACAUGAUUCUUAGAGAUGUUUAUAACACUCGAGUUAUCACACAUGAUGCUCAUGGUGUUUUGCUCCAUGCCGUUUUAUUGAGCAUUUGUUUCAUCCAAAGAAGUUGAGUACAACAACUUCCUAUGGCAAUAUAUUCUAGUUUUGUAGUGGAAAGAAACAUCAAGUUUUUCAUUUAACUAAGCCAACCAACUAUACAAUCGUAGGGAUAAAAAAACAAACACUUGAAAUACUUCUCUUAUCCUCUAUGUUUUUGAUCCAAUUAGCAUCAGAAUAUCCAAUGAUAACAAGUGAGAAGUCAAAGUGAUAUAACAAGCCAUAGUCCCAUUAACAUAUUAGAUUAUUUGUUUUAUUGAUUUUAAGUGAUACUCUUUUGGAUUAGCCUGGUACAAACUCACAAUAAGGAAUAGAAGACUUCCUACCAUGUUGUUAUAAAGUUUUUGCUCAACAUUUUCACCAUAUGUAUCUUUGCAAAGCUUUGUGGUUAUGCUCAUGGGUGCUUAGCCGACUUAAGUCUAAACUUUUUUACUAGAUUUGAGAUAGGAAGAUGUCACUCUCAAUUUGCUUUGAUAACCACCGAAAGUCCAAUAGAGAGCACCUAGAGAAAGAGAGAGAAGAGGGGAGAGGGGGGUGGGGGUGAUUUAAAAAAUAUUUAAAAUAUUAUGCCCAAUUCUUUUAACCCAAUAAAUUUUAGGGAUGUACUGGAUAUUCAAACUUACCAAAAAUUGAUUUUUACCUUUUAGAAAUAUCUUGUGAUUAGAUAAGGAUAAAAUAAUAUAAUUAUUAAUGUCCAAAUUAUCCUAAGAGAAGUUAGGGAAAACAAUAAUUUGUUAUAUUUAUAACCUCCAAGAUAACCAACCCAACAACCUCAAUAACAAACUAACCAAUCAAUCAAAAGGAUAUCAAUAUUAUCAAACAUAAUAUAAGCAAGAAAAUAAAGAUAUGCAAUGAGGCACAAGAUUUUUACAUGAAAAACCCCCACAAACUAUGAAGAUAAAAAACCACAAGGUCUAAUACCUAUUAAUCUAAAUUCACUAUUCAAAAUCAAGUUACACAAAUUUACUUGAUCGAUUUACUCUAAUAGCUUACCCUCCAAUACCUACAACUUGAUUCACGUCUGUGAUGCAAGAACUCUUUGUUGCUCCUUAGUAGAUCCUUCGGCCACUCUAAAGGGAUUAAGAUCUUCAACCCAAGAUUCAAAUAUCAAAUCCUUGAAUGAGAUUGGGAAUGAUGUGGCACUUUAGGCUUUCUCUCUAGGAGACCUAAAACAAUCUUGUCAAUGAAACCCUCUCAACUAAAGUGAGAUCUCUUAGACCAAAUUUCAUUUUGAUCUCUAACCCUCAAGGGGUUAUAAGGAAGGUAUUUAUAGGCAAAGUCUUAAAGAGUUUCGAUAUCUUCAGUUUCUAAAAUAGAGUUUGAGUGAAAUUCAUCCAAAAUCCAUUUCUAAAUUCGGUAGGACAAUCAUGAUUGCUUGAACGGACUUACAGUGCAUGAACGGGCCUUACCGCUUAAGUAGGCUGAUCAUUUGAGCAUGAUUAAUUGCUUGAGUAGCUCUUGCUUCUUUUGAAAAAUCAUUUUAAAACAUUUUAAGUCCAAGAAUGAUACCGAACCUAUUUAUACAUCAAAAGAGCCUUAUAUGCCACAUGCCAACCUCUUUAUUCAUACUUGUGACUUCACGGUUGGACGAACAACAACUUUUGAUUUUCAAUGGAGAGCAAGUCAUUAUCUAAGAAGACUUCUAUGACCAAACAUGAAAAUGAACAAAUUACCAACAUAUAAACAAGACUUAGGUAGUGUUUGUUUUUUUACUUAAUUCUAAAUAGAACCUUAAUGCUUAAUAGUGUUAAAAAUUAGGUUGUUUGUUUUUGUAGUAUUUUAUUUCUAUUAGGUAUUAAAAAGUAAAGAAAAUUUAAUAUGUUAUUUUUUCUAUUUAGAAAAAGCUACAUAUUUUGGCUUUUUCUAAUUAGUAAAAGUUUAUAAUAAGUCAUGAAAAAGUAUAAAAACAAACAAUCUAAAUUUUGAAAACAAAUUGUUUUCAGAAAAAAGCCAAAAAAACAAACACCACCUUAAUGUCUUAACAUUCCUAAUUUGUAGGCUUAGGAAAAAGUAAAGUUCACUUACCAUGCUCAUUUCAAACUCCUUUUUCAUCUCCUCAAUAAAACCAAUAUUUUAUUCAUUUAAAGUGGCUAUAUCAUCAACAUAAAUCUGUGCCACUAGGAGUUUGGAAUUAGUCCUAAGGAGAAAUAAGGUCAUAUCAGCUCUCCUUCUCUCAAAACCUUGUUUCAAGAGGUAAGUAGUUAGCCUAUUGUACUAAGCUAGAGCAUGAAUGGUAGACCAAUCAAAGAAAGCUAAAAUCCAAAUAUAAGUAUGUGUUUGAAAAACCUACUAAAUAAAUGAUUGCAUUUAAAGCCGUUAGAUUUAAUAUUUAGAGGCUAAACACUAACUACCGCUUUCUUUAUGGUUGAAAUAAGAUAUAGUUAUAAUAUGUUGCUAGGAGGAUAUAUAUUAGAUUCAUUCCAAUUAUUGCAUACCACUUUUUCUUCAUCAGUUGUUGAUCUUUCAAAAAAGAAAAACACAAUGGAAUUGGUAAAAGCAAAGAUUAAAUCUUUCUUGGCUUAUUUAAGAUGGUAGAAGUGAAAUACUAUAUAAAAAAAAAGUAUUCUCUAAUCAUGUUUAAAAAGACAAAAAAAAAAAAGAAAAAGGAACAAGUCUUUGUAUGGUCAAACUCUCUCUCUCUCUCUCUCUCUCUUUCUAUGACUUUGGUAGGAGAAUUUAGGGUAAUGUCUCCCAAUCAAUAAGGUUGGGGCAAGUUUCUGUAUUUUAUGAAUGAUGCAAGAAAAAUGAUUGGAUGAAAAUAGCCAAAGCUUCUAUUUGAAACAGAAAAGCAAAAAAAAUUAGGGAUUGAAUUGAAAAAGGUAGUCAACCUUCGCCAAACAUUGGAACAUUAAAGUCAAGGUAAUUAAAAGAAAUCCAUUUGGCUAAAGAACGAAAAGUUGAAAAGUUGAAAAGUUGAAAAGUUGUGCAAGUUCAAGAUCCCUUUGAUGAAAUAAAUUUGGAAAGAAAUUAGGAAGAUAUAAGGCCAACCUUUUUUUAGUAAUCUCAUCUUGAGAUGAUGUAGAGGAUGAUAUAAUUACUAAAAGAUUAAUAUAGCGAUUGUUUUGUUGGUAAUAUAGAAAAAAAUGCCUAGGUUAAGACGAGUAAAAGAAGGGUUUGAACUAGUCAAACAACCACCUAGAAGGAUGAUGUUAGAACAUAUAUUUAAGACAAAAGAAGAGAUUAAAAGAUCAUUGAAGGCGAGUUUUAUUAUUAGAAUACCCUAUUAUGUGGAAAUAUAAUUAUUUAUAUUGAUUUCUAAAACAUAACUAGGACAGUCUAAAAGUAUCCUAUUUCAAUGGUUGAUUUGCUUGUUGAUAAGUGUCUCUUAGCAUGAAAUGUUUCUAUUCAUAAAAGACCAUUUAGGAUAUAAUCAAAUUUUUCUAUAGAAGAAAAUAUCCAUAAAAAAAAUUUAGAUGUAUUGGAGCCAUAGAAACCUUUUAGUGGAUGGUUAUAUGUUUGGGUUAAAAAAAUUAAAAAAUCUUGUUGCAACAUACCAACCGGCCAUGAAUGUAAUUUAAUUGGAAAGAUAAUGAAAGUUUACAUUAACAAUGUGAUUGUGAACUCUAUUCAAAAUUUUGACAACUUAGAAAAAGUGUUUGAUAGGAUGAUGCUACACUGUGUAAAAAUGAAUCCUACCAAAUGUGUAUUAAGUAUAAGUGUGAGGAAUUUCCUUGGAUUUCUAGUUCACAACAAUGGAAUAAAGUUUGACUAUAAUAAAGGUAAGGCCAUACUUAAGGCUACUCUUGCUAAGAAUAAGGAGUUUCAAGGCUUCAUUAGCCAAAUCAAUUUCCUUGAAAGGUUUAUAGCAAAUUCUUCAGGAAAAAUCUAGGGAUUUUCAUCACUUUUGAAGUUAAUGGAUAAGGAUGAACUUGUAUGGAAGAACAUUCAUGAAAAAGCCUUCGAGCGACUGAAAAUCAAGCUAAGCCUCCUGUGUUUUGAUACCACUAGUGAUAUUGGAAAUAUGGAGAAGAUAGAGGAUAAGAUUACAAUAAAAUCUUAAGGGAUGUAGAAAUCACCACCCUUUGUGUCCACUGGAAACUUAGAACUCACCAUUCAAUGGAAUCCACCAAAGAAACAUAACUUUCUUUGAGAAAAGUACUCUCUAUUGAAUACCAAAUAUUUUUCCUUCAAGCAGCAAAAACUUUCUCCCUUAUAAUUCAAAAGACUUAUUACAGCUUACACUUGGAACAAUCCUCCAAGCAUAGGGUUCCAAAGUACCUAACUUACAUUCUUAAUACCAAAACUAAAUGAAUAUAUUCCAAGAAGUUCUCUAAUUGAAAAAUAAAUUACACCUUGAGGACUUAUAGAAGGAUUGAAAUUCCACAUGGGAAAUUGAGGAGAGUAAGAAAAUGAGGUAAAAUUAGGAAUUCCUAGGUGACUCCUUUACAAAAAAAAAAAAAAAUCAAUUAGAUCAACACCAACUUUGUUCUACAAGAUGUUUCAAAAUUUGGUUGCAACUUAGGAAAUUAAUGUGAGAAUCUAUAGCCCGAUAGACUCUGUUUCUUAGACCAUGUAGAAGGAUGCUGCUGUGUCAAGCUCCUCUGGGUGGAAAAGACUCAUCCUCGAAUCUAGAUUACUGUUACUAGCAUGAAAAGGAGAAAGAUUAGAAAGAUUGAAAGUAGGUGAAACUGCAUAAUUAUCAAGAAGCUCAAUUUUGUAUGCAUUUUCACCGAUUCGUAGGAGUAAUUUGAAUGGAUUAUCGACCUCUGGUUUGAUCUUAACAUACUUUCCAGGUGGAAAACGUUCUUUGCCAAGAUGAACCCAUACAAUCUCCUUCCUUAAACUCAACAUGUCUUUCAUGCUUGUUAGCCCUCCUCUUAUACUUCUCAUUUUGCCUGUGAAUCUUGUCCUAAACUUGUCUGAAGCUUUCUAAUGCUUUGUGCCCUUUCUUUAGUAUCCCCAUUGAAAUGGUGAGUAGUUGGAGGAGGAGCUGAAUCCAAAGGACUUAUAGGAUUUUUACCAUAAACUACUUUAAAAGGACUACAACCAGUAGUCUGAAUAGUAGACCGAUAGUAAAUGAAUUCAAUAUGAGCCAAAGCAAGAUCCCAUUUUUUGAACAUCCUUCCCUACAUAACAUCUUAAGAGAUUCCCCUUCAUCAGCAUAAGUAAUUUCGUCUUCUUUACUCGGAAUGGCAUAGUCAUUUUGAGAGUUUGUAUGACCUCCUCAUCACUAUCUUCUUCCACCAGGGUGACAAUUCUAUGAUUAGGAUAUUCUGAAGUAAUAUGUCCGUAUCCAUGACACUUAAACAUUAAUGAGAACUAGCUUUCGACGAGGUCUAUUGCUAGUUAAAACCAGCUCCACCAUCACUCUUCGAAGUUAUUUUAGAUGUGGGUUUCAAAGCUGGAUUGGCUUUGCAUUAGAGAUAUGUCCUCGGCUAGAAGUUUCAUCUUAACCCUUUACUUCCUUUUGUUGCUUUUCCACUUUAAGAGCAAGCUUGCACACAUCACCAUAAGUCUAGUAAAGCAGUAGUAUUUAAACAACAUUACCAAUUUUAUGCUUCAAACAUCCAAGGAAAUUAGCUCUGGUUUGUUCUUCAGGUUCAAUAAGAUCACAUUUCAUCAUGAAAUAGUUAAACUCUGCUAUAUAUUCUUCCACAGAUAACUCUUUCUAAUUGAAGUUGAUAAGCUUAAGGAAUACAUAUUGUCGAUAAAUGUCUGGCAAAUAUUUUCUCUUAAGUUCUUUUUUUCAUCUUUUCCCAAGUCGUAAUUCUUCCCCUUUCUUCACAAGCCCUCUGCUUAAUUUUUAAGAUUUUCCAACGAUAAAGAGGCAUACUUUUUCAACUUGAUAGCAAUAAGUUUCAUCCUAUGAAUUGAACCAUUGAAACUUCUUUAUAGUUAAACACUCGUUCCAUAGAGAGAAGUCAAUCAAUAAACUUAUCUGGCUCCCUUUUUGUCUUCAAAUUUUGGGAUAUGAACUUAAAAAAUCAAAGUCUCUUAGAACAUUGUAAUUCCUUUGUACACGAGGAGGGGAGACUUCUUUUGAAUGUUGGCUUGGAUCUCUGAAAUGGAUUGAUGUCUUCAUUUUUACUGCUAGGAGCCUCAUGCUUUGUAUUGUGAUGGGAUUCAUUGCACCCAAGAAUCUCAUAACAUUCUAAACGUUAUUGCAACUGUUGCACUUGUCCCCUUAAUUCUUCUACCUUAAUGCAACGAACAUAUCACGAGAAAGGCAUUUUUCUUCAAUAUAUAUUUUGUGCGCGACGAUGAUGACUAGCGGUGAGAACUUCUGACCUAUGCUCUGAAACCAAAUUAGUAUCAGAAAUUUGGAGAAAACAGAGGAUAAGAUUACAAUGAACUCUCAAGGGAUACAUAAAUCACUACCAUUUGAGUUCAGUGGAAACUUGAAACUCACCACUCAAUGGAAUCCACCAAAGAAAUACAAAUUUCUUUGAGAAAAGUACUCUCAAUUGAACAACAGAUACCAACUUUGUUCGAAAAGUUGUUUCAAAAUCUGGUUCUAAUUUGGCUGAAGCUUUGGAAAUUAAUGCGAGAGCCUUUAGCCCAUCGGACUUUGCUUCUUGGACGAUGUAGAAGGGCACUGCUGUGUCAACUAGACAGCAAUAUCUUUAGAUUUUCCUUUUGUUUUUUUCCUCCCAAGGAGCUCAAAAUAUCUGAGGCCGAGUAACCACUAUAAUCUACUCCUCCGAGGGACAGAUAUACUCAAAUGCUUAUUUGGCAAUGUUAGAAAGCAGUCAUAAAAAAUUAUUUUUUGUGGAAUAUUUUUAAAAUAUUUUUUAAUUAUUUAAAAAAAAAACAAAAUUCUAUUUGAGAAUGUAAAUAUGAAAAAAAUAGUUUUAAAAUUUAUUCAUAAUUAAAAUAUUGUACAUUUAAUUAUAACACAAAAGUUUAUAAAGUAUUCUUUUGUGUUAUAAUUAAAUGUACAAUAUUUUAAAACAAUUGUUCAAACCUUUCUGUUUUUUUCUCUUCUAUGCCUAGCACUCUCCCCGCCCACCCAUUAUGACAGAAUUUCCACAACCAAUUAAAAUUUUGUCUUUAAAUUUAAAAAAGGAGAAAUCAUUAAGCUUUGUUUCGGUCAUGGGAAUAAUAUAUAUAUAUAUAUAUAUUGAAAUAAAUCAUUUUCUUGUUAGAUUGUUAUAGAGAGAAACGAGAGAAAAACCAGUAACUUUAAAUGUAGAGUACUUUGGUUAGGGAUAACUAGCUUGUGUUCCUAGUGCAUGGUCCACUAAAGGCAUGGUCAUGUAGGGACAUAUAAAUACUUCUUUAAAAUGCAAUAAUUUAUAGAAGAAGUAUUAUCAAAUAUUUUAGAAUUAAUUUCAGUCAUCAAAAAUCAAUAGUUGAAUGCCUUAAAAGUAAAGCUAUUAUUUUAUUAUUUUAUUAUUUUUAUGGUGGUAUCAUAGCUACUGAAAUUUCCAAAGUUUCUGAUUUAAUUUGUUUCACCCAAGGGAUAAACUUGCUUGCCCAACCAUUUGUUGGGGGUUCGACUCCCUCAAGUGGCAGAGAAACAGGUCAUUUUUGAGCUUUGACCGCCAUAUAUGAGUUGGAAAUAUCUUACACGAUAUUUUAAUAACUGGUUUCACCUUGAUUUUGGUUUAGACCUUAGUAGGAUAUAGUGGGGCUCACAAUGAUGCCUUUCUAAACAUCCAACAUGUCUGACUGGUCAAGAAUGGCCAUACUGUGGAAGAAAAGUGGCUACGUCACUAGCUUUUGUUGUCCUACUUCACCUUAAUUAUUCAAUUGACAAUUAAUUGGAAGAUUCACUUAUAAGUGUCACAUCUUCUAUCGACUCUUGUGACUUUGUUUUCCUUUUUCAUGCUUCAAAUUUGAACACCAAGAUAAUCACCAAUUCUACUAUAAUAUAAAGCAAUUGACCCAUAAUACAACUGAUCCACACCUAGUAGCAUUCCACAUUUCUUGCAGCAAGGCAUAUAGGAUUAAUUAGAACCCCAGUUGAACCUUAGCCGCUUAGAAACACCUGAGUUGGCUAAUUGUGAAGGGAAGCAUAACUAUUGAUCAAACCCAAGGCGUUGCUAGUCAUAUGCGCCAUGUUAACUACACGAGCCCUCACGGUGGUUUUUAGAUUCCCAUUCAUGGCGUUUCCGGCGAACCCAUCAGUGCAUGUGUCCUCAUCCGUCAGGGCAGCACUAACCCAUGUUUGUAUGUCAUUCAUCAUGAGCCCAAAAUUGGAGCCUUUUAUUUGGGUCAUCUCCCCCAUUGCUUUUCGAAGCUGAUCUACUGAGUCGCUCAACUCUUCCACACAGUCGUGCAUGGCUGCAACUUCUCUAGGCUUUAGGCCAUGACUUUGCACCAUCUUUGACAUCAGGGAUGAUGUAGAUCGUGCGGUUGAAAGGGUCACAGCAAGGGCUGUGUCUGCUAGAAGCUUUGGGCUGGUUUGGAUUACACUGGCAUGAGCUGAGAGGGAGGUGUAGCAAAGUUUGGGAUAAGUGGUUGUACCACAAGAUGUUCGGAUGAACUCGGUGCUGGCUUUCUCUGCAGCAGGCCUGGCUGCUGAGCUUAAGUUUGCACAGGAAGUGAAGGAAAGAAAAAUGAUAAGAGCUGCAAGGAAAUGGCUAGAAAA